GACGAACGCUGGCGGCGUGCUUAACACAUGCAAGUCGAACGGAAAGGCCCUGCUUGUGUGGGGUGCUCGAGUGGCGAACGGGUGAGUAACACGUGAGUAACCUGCCCUUGACUUUGGGAUAACUUCAGGAAAGUGGGGCUAAUACCGGAUAGGAGCUCCUGCUGCAUGGUGGGGGUUGGAAAGUUUCGGCGGUUGGGGAUGGACUCGCGGCUUAUCAGCUUGUUGGUGGGGUAGUGGCUUACCAAGGCUGUGACGGGUAGCCGGCCUGAGAGGGUGACCGGCCACAUUGGGACUGCGAUACGGCCCAGACUCCUACGGGAGGCAGCAGUGGGGAAUAUUGCACAAUGGGCGGAAGCCUGAUGCAGCAACGCCGCGUGCGGGAUGACGGCCUUCGGGUUGUAAACCGCUUUCGCCUGUGACGAAGCGUGAGUGACGGUACUGGGUAAAGAAGCACCGGCUAACUACGUG
rnacentral:rRNA from 1 species